GGCGAGUUUGCUCUGUACAACUCAUACCGGCGAAACAUUGUGCAGAGC
rnacentral:ncRNA from 1 species